GAUGAACGCUAGCUACAGGCUUAGCACAUGCAAGUCGAGGGGCAGCAUGAACAUAGCUUGCUAUGUUUGAUGGCGACCGGCGCACGGGUGCGUAACACGUAUCCAAUCUACCCAUGGCUCGGGGAUAGCCUUUCGAAAGAAAGAUUAAUAACCGAUGGUCUCGGUUUAAGGCAACGUAGACUGAGUAAAGAUUUAUCGGCGAUGGAUGAGGAUGCGUCUGAUUAGGUAGAUGGCGGGGUAACGGCCCACCAUGCCUACGAUCAGUAGGGGUUCUGAGAGGAAGGUCCCCCACAUUGGAACUGAGACACGGUCCAAACUCCUACGGGAGGCAGCAGUGAGGAAUAUUGGUCAAUGGACGAGAGUCUGAACCAGCCAAGUAGCGUGAAGGAUGACUGCCCUAUGGGUUGUAAACUUCUUUUGUUUGGGAAUAAAGUUCGGGACGUGUCCCGUUUUGUAUGUACCAUUCGAAUAAGCAUCGGCUAAUUCCGUGCCAGCCGCCGCAGUAAAAC
rnacentral:rRNA from 1 species